AUGAAUACUUAAAUUUGUUUAUUAAAUUUAGGUUUCAAUAAUCUUUGCAAAAGUUCUCUAUUAUCAUUCCUACCCACGAAACUAAGCCACGCGCAAACUUGCUCGUGGUCUUUAUAGAGAACCAGACCUAAGCCCACUUUUAACAUGGAAAAUAGAAGAGAAACAGAAAUUAAGCCCACGUUAAGAUAGACAAUUGAACAGAACAACCUUUGACAGUAAGAUUGGAAGGGGCCGCGCGAACGCAGGCCCCCACUGCCACAAAUUAUGACGUAGGCUCUCCCACU
rnacentral:misc_RNA from 1 species